rnacentral:tRNA from 1 species
GAUAGCUCAGCCGGUAGAGCAUCUGACUUUUAAUCAGAGGGUCGAGGAUUCGAAUUCCUCUCGG